AGAAUUACUGCCAGCAACACGGAGGUCAUCUUGUCGAAUUAGAAACUAAAGAAGAAGACCUUUUUAUCAGAGACUUUCUACGUGGCAUGAAAGAUGACCAUCGCUGGAUUGGGCUAACGGACGAAGCGGUAGAAGGAAUUUGGAAAUGGUAUACUUCAAAAGCAGAUGUCACAUACACAGAUUGGUAUUCGGGUGAACCCAACUCGUACCAUGGAGAAGAGGAGGACUGCGCAGUACUGUUUUACACUGGUGACUACAGCUGGUUUGAUGUACCCUGCACUUUGUCUUACGAACCAAUUUGCGAGAUUAAGU